rnacentral:rRNA from 1 species
UAGCAGGAUUAGAUACCCUGGUAGUCCACGCCCUAAACGAUGUCAACUGGUUGUUGGACGGCUUGCUGUUCAGUAACGAAGCUAACGCGUGAAGUUGACCGCCUGGGGAGUACGGGCGCAAGGUUGAAACUCAAAGGAAUUGACGGGGACCCGCACAAGCGGUGGAUGAUGUGGUUUAAUUCGAUGCAACGCGAAAAACCUUACCUACCCUUGACAUGUCAAGAAUUCUGCAUAGAUGUGGAAGUGCUCGAAAGAGAACUUGAACACAGGUGCUGCAUGGCCGUCGUCGGCUCGUGUCGUGAGAUGUUGGGUUAAGUCCCGCAACGAGCGCAACCCUUGUCAUUAGUUGCUACUAAAGGGCACUCUAAUGAGACUGCCGGUGACAAACCGGAGGAAGGUGGGGAUGACGUCAGGUCCUCAUGGCCCUUAUGGGUAGGGCUACACACGUCAUACAAUGGCCGGUACAGAGGGCUGCCAACCCGCGAGGGGGAGCCAAUCCCAGAAAACCGGUCGUAGUCCGGAUCGCACUCUGCAACUCGACUGCGUGAAGUCGGAAUCGCUAGUAAUCGCGGAUCACCUUGCCGCGGUGAAUACUUUCCCGGGUCUUGUACACACCGCCCGUCACACCAUGGGAGCGGGUUCUGCCAGAACUAAUUAGCCUAACGCAUGGGGGGCGAUUACCACGGCAGGGUUCGUGACUGGGGUGAAGUCGUAACAGGGAACCA